AUUGAACGCUGGCGGCAUGCCUUACACAUGCAAGUCGAACGGCAGCACGGGUGCUUGCACCUGGUGGCGAGUGGCGAACGGGUGAGUAAUGCAUCGGAACGUGCCCAGUAGUGGGGGAUAGCCCGGCGAAAGCCGGAUUAAUACCGCAUACGACCUGAGGGUGAAAGCGGGGGACCGAAAGGCCUCGCGCUAUUGGAGCGGCCGGUGUCAGAUUAGGUAGUUGGUGGGGUAAAGGCCUACCAAGCCUGCGAUCUGUAGCUGGUCUGAGAGGACGACCAGCCACACUGGGACUGAGACACGGCCCAGACUCCUACGGGAGGCAGCAGUGGGGAAUUUUGGACAAUGGGCGCAAGCCUGAUCCAGCCAUGCCGCGUGCGGGAAGAAGGCCUUCGGGUUGUAAACCGCUUUUGUCAGGGAAGAAACGCUCUGGGUUAAUACCCUGGGGUAAUGACGGUACCUGAAGAAUAAGCACCGGCUAACUACGUGCCAGCAGCCGCCGCCG
rnacentral:rRNA from 1 species